GGCGGAGUGCUUAACACAUGCAAGUCGAGCGAGAAAGCUCUUUCGGGAGUGAGUACAGCGGCAGACGGGUGAGUAACGCGUGAGAAUCUGCCCUUUAGUGAGGAAUACCCCCGAGAAAUCGGGAUUAAUACUGCAUACGUUCAUCGUGAAUAACGAUGAAGAAAGAUGGCCUCUUUGCUGUCGCUAAAGGAUGAGCUUGCGUACUAUUAGCUAGUUGGUGGGGUAAAGGCUCACCGAGGCGAAGAUGGUUAACCGGCCUGAGAGGGUGUACGGUCACACUGGAACUUAGACACGGUCCAGACUCCUACGGGAGGCAGCAGUGAGGAAUAUUGCGCAAUGGACGAAAGUCUGACGCAGCGACGCCGCGUGGAGGAUGACGGUUUUCGGAUUGUAAACUCCUGUUAAGUGGGAAGAAAUCCCUGGUUCUAAUACAGCCGGGGGAUGAC
rnacentral:rRNA from 1 species